CCUCUGUCCCUCCAGUGAAGUUAUGGGUUUCCAUUCACUGCAAAGAUGAAAGUGUCAUUCACUGAACAGUCAUUGAUUUGGUUUAAUUUUCUUAGGUUUCUGAGAAAAGAGUCGGAAAUCAAACCUGGAACCUGUUGCUGCUAAUCAAAUCAUGACAGAAAGAUAUGAACUAGCCAAUGACCCAGAUGGUUGGCUGAGUGUGGAUGAGAACUCUGGUGUUAUUACUGUGGCAAAAGAAUCAAGAAUCCCCCUUCUUGAACAACAACAUGUAUACCAUUAUUGUUCAUGCUACAAAUCCUGGUAAGCACCCAGUCAGAGAAUAUUCAAGCAGUCUGGACUGUGAAAUGAGGUAUAUGUUGAACAUAAAAAGAUACCAAGUCUAAGUGAUUAACGGCUAAUAAAACACCCUAAUGUCUAUACCUUGUGCUAUGUGUGACUGGUAGGAUAAACCAGACAGAUCCUGCCACUGGACUGGCAUUUGUCAAUACCCAGUUGUGUUUUUGUGCCUCUUUUGCUCCUACCCUGGCAAGCCCUCACAGUCUGGUACUGGCACCAUCCUGCUUCACUUGUCUGACAUUAAGGAUCAUACACCUUCAUUGGUGGCUCCUGCUUUAGAUGCAUAUGACAAAACAGAAGGGACACUUCUCGUUCUAGAAGCCAAGUCUGCUCUGGCCUACUCACAUUCAGGGUGAGCUGGCUGAGGACUCUGAAGAUGUGAAGCGUAACUGGACAUUAGGAAGGAACUUUGUCUUGUGAAAUAGCAGUGGUGUCACCUCAUCUCACCUCACAGACAAGGAAGACAAAAGCAUGAAGGAUUUUCAAGUAAUUGCAGAGAAGUUCCUGAACCCAUGGCUUGACAUAAACCUACCACAGGAGCUAGAGCUUCAUGAUUUCUAUCAAAAGGAUGCUGUCUGAGGCUUACACUGCUGCCUUCUACAGGUCUGCAAGGAGCCACACCGCUUCUUUGUGCCUCCAUCUUCCCAUCUGUCAGAGAAGCAUUGCAAUGCCUACCUCCCCAGUUAAGUACUUUGAAGAUUAUUGAUGUUGCAGCAAAGCUUUUAUAUGAGCAUUUGAUUCUAAUAUUUCUUCCUUCCACAGUAUGUUUUAUUCAGGCCAAACUCCUUCCCACUCUCCUUACAGCUAAUGGAGCAGAGAAUCUUUUAUCGCGGCCGUUCCCUAUUGCGGUCUGAGAGGUCUGUUUUGAUAUGUCAGCACAAGGAACUUUUCUUUUUAUAAUUACAGAUUUUGUCAACCAUUUUGACUACUAAUCGAGCUGCAGUAUGGAUUACUGCCUUAUUAGUAACACAAGCAGUUCUCCAAAACACACAGCCUGAGGCAGAGCCUCAUUAUGGAAGACUUCAGGCCAGUUUAUUUAGCAAAGUUGUAAAGAACUGGAAAUGAGAUCUUACACUGGGAAAUACUGAGUAACCUUAAGUGUAGGCAUAAAGCCCUGCUCCCCUUAGAGACACACCCUAUCCAUAGGUGUUUUGCUGUCCAUGUAACUGGUUAUGUGCUAGGAGAGAAUCCACUAGCUGCUGUCAAACCAGUGAACAAGGCGGCCCCAGGGUCAGCCAGAGUGUUUAGGAAAAGAACUGUGAGGUAUUUCUCCUCAAACCUGCCUUCUGAGGAAGACACUUGCCUCAAGAGGAAAGAGAAAAGUGGUCAGUGACAUAAUUUGAAUGCAAAAUUAAAGACUACUGCUGAACAUUAAAAUAUUUCUUCUAGUUCCCCAGGGAUUUUGCAUGGAAUUCACUGUGCUCAGUGUGAAUGGCAGAGGGACUAUAUUUAUACUUGGUAAAUUGGCUGGAUGGGCUCCUGGGAUUUGAAUUGUUUAACACAGAAAGCUCUUGAUUUGAGGAUAUUUUGUAGCGUCCAGUGGCAAGAUCCACCCACAACCCCUCAAGGGAUGCAUACAAAAGGAUAUGUCUAAUUUUGCAUCAUGAGUAGCUGGAGAAGAAUACAGGCCAGGUGUGCAAACUGCAUGAUUUAAAGAGAAAGAAAAAAAAUUAUGACAUAUAAAUUAAAAGUAUCAGAAUGAAGGUCUUUUCUUAGAAGCAUACAGAAUUGGACUCAAUAGUGGUACUCAAAAUUGGUACUUCCUUCCUGCCUUCCUGGAGUAAUUCUGUUCAGGCCACUGAAACUUUUUUGAAUUAUCUUGGUUUUAGUAAAGAUUUUCAGAGGAAAAAAAUUGGAUGCCACUUCCACCCUUCCAAAUGAAAUACUAUGAUUUCUUCGGAAUUACUUUAAUCAAUGUCAUUUUUUAAUUUUCAUUUUUAUAUUAAUGUUACCUAAAAUGUUUUUUAAAGUACCUCUGUUUUUUAAAUGCAAGUAUUAAUUUAUUACAUAUAUAAUUAAGGCAGAAGAUUAAAUAUUUUUCUAUAUCUAAAAUAUUUAUAUAUUUACUGCAAAUGCUUCAUAUUUAUUCAAAUAGAAUUAGAAACCUUUUGAUUCUUCUCUGCCCAGAACUGGCAUAACUGGCACAGCUUUGGCCCUGAUCACUAGUGUGUCAGUUUGAUUCCCCAAAUUUAGUAGCCUUCAAAUUGCAUCAAUAGCAGCACAGCAUAGCUAUAUUUCAGACUUUCUAGGUGCCAGGAGGAAGCACAUGUACCUUUAAAUGUCUUGCUCUGAAUUUAGCCAAAAAAGAAUCUUAUUUUUGCAUAUUUAUUUAAGUACCUGGGCAGGUCUUUUUUUUAUUUUUUUUUUUAUUUUUUUAUGAAAAUGUUGCCUGUAACUAAGGCAAAAACAAACAUUAAGCCACUUUGUUGUUUGUCUACUUUAAAUGAAAAUGUUGCAUUGGUAUAAAAUCACUCUUGAAGUAUUUUUUUAUCUUGUUUCCAAGCAGAAAUACUUCAAAAGCACAUUUUCAUCCACUAAAGUAAACGUUCUCAAAAUGAAGGACUUUUAAAUGUGAAUGGUAGCAGGUAAAGGAAACAACCCUAUUAAAAGAACUAAUGAGAACACAGGAACAGUCUCGUUCUCUUAGACUCAUCAUUUGCUGUCAAGCUCAGCUGAGUUUUGAAUGUCUGAAAAUGCAAGUGGCAGAGGGCUGUGGGCUGGGAGGAGAAUUCAGAGGGGUCAGCUUCAGUUGCCUCAAAGGAUCCAGGACAGCUUUCUUCAAACUCAAAUCCAUCAAGGCUGUCCCAUAGCUGGCUUCUGAGCAGAGAGGCAAGUGUCUCUAAUGAUGGUAUGAAAACUAGGACCAGCCUGUUUGUCUUUGGAGCAAGGACCAAAAGGAAUAAAGAAGGGGAAGGAGAGUGAUGGAAUGGGUUUACAGUCUGUGUUCUGUCUUUAAUAAUUAAGGUUCCCUUUAAAAAGAGCCUUUUUUUUGCUUCUUUGCCUUCAUUGCUGUCACUAUUGGCUUUUAGUUCACAGUUUUAUGGUCAUGGUGUUGUUUCUCCUUCCUAUAAGGGUGCCAGGCUGUCCAGAGCAGUAUCUUGUUUUCAGCCUUGUACAGCAGUCAAUCCCCAGGAAGAGGCUAAGGUGCAGGACACAGACACAGCAGUGCUCCUCCUGACAUGUUCUGUGGGUUUCACAUAACAGUGGUUAGUGAUCAUCCGCUGAUGGACCUUUAUCCUGCAUGGAUUUGUCUAAUCCUACUUUGAACCUGUUAAUACUCCUGGCCUCUACAAUACCCUCAGGCAACAAGUCUUGCAUGCUAAUUGGAUAUGGUGCAGUGUUUGAACUGUGAAGAGGUAUGUGAAGUGGGUCCAGCCUGUCUUUGGGAGAGAGAUGGCAUGAUUCAUCUUUGAAACUGGAGGGCUGGAGCUUAAUAGGAGAAAUGAGGCAUAUUUUGAGUUGCAACCCUGAGCAAAUAAUGAGGUGUAACACUAAGAAAUCCUGAGUUGGAAAUAUAUGGAGUCUCAGAGGACACACAUUUUCUAACGUGAACUUUUUAUGCAUCAAGGCAGUUCAAUCACCAGACUAAGUGGGAAAAUUUUUGUGAUUAAUGUUGGUCUUCACAAGGGGGGAAACUCUGCAAUACAGGUGGGGAAUACUGCAUGUUUUGUGCUUCCAUAUUUACCAACAUACUGGCAUCAGACAGAGUAAAUGUUUGUGGGGGGGGCUUGGCUGCUCUUGGGAGAUGACGAGGAUCAAGCAGCCAUUUUUAAUUGCUCCAGCUUUCUUUUCAAAUUUACUGUUUCAUGUGUCAUUUGUGACUUCCUCAGACUAUCCCAAGGAAGCAGGAAAAAGAUGUCUUGUUUCAUUCUGUAUCUAGGGUUAUGGAUAUUUCUGUUUCUUGAUGCUGUUUGACCAUCAGCUAAGGUGCAGAGUGAGAGAGCUUUUUGUUAGAGUUUCAUAACAAAGUGAGAACAAAGUCUGGCAGCACCCAGCUCUGUUAUCUAGGGAAUCUUGUUCCUUAUUUGAUUAUAGAAGAGGUUCAGAUUUCUGUUCAUAAGUUUUUCAUUUAGUGACACUCAUUCCUCCCUAUGAACCUCUACAGGGCUUGUAACUUCUGCAUCUGAGCACCAUUUUAUCCCAGAGUGGUGGGGGACAUAUCAGUGCUAUUCCAAAGAAAAACUCUGAAUUAGGAUUUCAGCAUUGGUACUGAGUAGAGGCUCUCUGUGUCUGUAUAGGUGCUGCGCAGACCUUGCAGACAGAGAAAAUCUGGGUUUCCCAAACACAGGGAAAUCCAGCUGAGACAGAGGGAUCUAAAUCCUGCACAAAAGGGGUUUACCCCCUCUUGCCAUGCUCUCAUCUACAGCCAAAGGCAGUGGCAGGAUGGUGGGCUGCACAUUGGUCACAAGCCCUACACAGUGCAGAGUCUUGUGGAGGUACCAGUGCCAGUUCUGAAUCUGCAGUGGCCAGAAGUAACAGGUUCACAUUAAAACUUGAGCAAAAACACUGAGACAGUGGUACAUCUACGUCUGUCAUGUUGACAUGAAGCUGCUUUUAGUAAUGCUGAGCAGGAAGAGGAUGGCUUUUUGGCCCCUAUCAGUGACUAAAAUGUGAGCUACUUUUGUCCCUUGGUCAUUUUAGCUGUGGAGAACCCAAUUUUAGCACAGUGGAGGUUAUAUAUACGUAUAAACACACACACACGUAUGUAUAUAUACACAUUCAAGCUAAAAUUUUAAAUCAUUGAAAAACCUCAAAGUCUUGAAUUAGAAGAGAGGUCAGGGGAAAGUUCAUGAACCCCAGCUGGCACAACAAACACAAGCAGCAGCUGAUUCACCUCUCCCGAUCCUGUCAGCAUGGUGUGGCUCAGCAGGACCUCCAGCAUAACCACAAUCACAGGCUUCUCUUCAUGGAGCUUCAUCUCACACACAUCCUUGCUGCGUAGUGUCUAGGGCCAGGCAGUCUAACCCUGGCAGAGAUGGCAUGUUUUACUCAAUAGAGUACUUUGCAAUUUAAAGUAUUUUAAAUUGUGGCUUAUUAGCAGCAGUUCCUCCCUGAGUAGUGUGUAAUGCAGCUGCAUUUAGUGCCAUUCCUGUAGCACAGCUACAGACACAUGGCUUGGCCCAGCCUGUAGGAUGCCAAAGCAAUUUUUUCAUGGGAUAAAUAAGGGAGCUAUGAUUUUCUACAUCUGUGAGUACGUAAAUAUUUCUUAAAGUUUGGCUCAGAUGACUGCUCAUCAACUAGAGGAUACCAAACUCAGCAUAUUUAUGAUACUAUGAUUUGUUUUACCAAGAGACAGAAUCAAGUUGUGCUUUUCUUAUAACAUGAAUAAUUCUGAGGUUAUUUUUAUCUCAUGGAAUUAAGUAGACUAUGGCCUUUAAAUUUAGUUUUUCUUUAUUCUUCUGAACCUUAGUACCCUUGUAUGUUAAAAAAUCAGGGAAGUGUUAUGGCAACUACGUUUUCUAUAGAGAUUACAGAGCAUCCCUUUACAAAGUCCAGCAUUACAACCAUCGUGGUAGAUGUGUAAAAAGCGAGGCCCAUGGAGUUGAAAUUACCUUCCUAAUUUUGCACAGUGCACUGCUGAAAAAGAUGGGGCUGAACAAAAUUCUGGAUAGACCUAACCUUAUGCCAGGGGCUGCCAUUAUUCCUUCACCAGACAGAUGCUGCUGUCAUCUCUGCCUUUGGAUGCCUCUGGUUUUAUAAGAUGUGCCAGUGGAGGGACAGUAGCAAAACCAGAGCAGACUCAGAGAACAGGAUGAGAUUAGAGCAUGUUUGAGAGUAAUGUUGGUAAUAUUGGUCAAGCUUGAGAAUAGAAGGGGUUUGAGCAGAAUUCACAGUUUCAAAUCUCAUGGCUGCAUUUGUUGCCAGCAAGUAUGUUGUAAAGUUGUUUUUUCUUCUGGAGACUUGCAGAACUCCUUUAGCCUGGCCCUGGUAAGAUUAAUGUGGUAUCCUUUCAAAUACCUUGAACAAAACAAAUGCCAAUUUUCUAUUGCCUAUUUUUAGGCUUCCAGCUGGGCCUAAGAAUUGAAAAGUUAUUAAAGAAAGCCAAGAUCUGAGCAAAUGUGCUUGUUAUAAAUUGUAAUAUAAACCACUUAUAAGCAUAGGUUUUAUCAUCCUAGAGUUAUUUCUUAAUUUAAAUGUUUCAUGUGCAUAUCUUGGAGAUGGGGAUGUAUUUGGGUGAGGAACGUGAUUAUAAAAGUUAUUUCUUUGUAUGCCAGACUGUGAAUAUUCCAGAUUGUAAAAAUAAAAGUAUUACACAUAUGUGAAAUACCUGACAAACUUCUUUGACAAACCAGAUGUUAGGCCAUCUAAUACUUAUUUUAAAGAUACAAAUACAAAUGAAAAAAUACACGCAAGCUUCUUCUGUUGCGAUGAUAAUGUUAUUGCUGUAACGUUAAUUUGUUUUGCUUUUCAUGUCUUCUGCAGCAAGGGCAGUGAGAAUAUUUGAGUCUGGUUCCCAUUUGUUUUGCUUGGAAUGUGUAGGACUGUCUUGAAUAUCUUCCAUCAUUAUUUGGACGGUACAUGUGCAAUAGCUCUCUUAAUGUAGGGCAUGGAGACAUACUGUAGGUAUACAGCGUAAUUAACUGCAAAGCUAUUUGGGAGCAGCUGUUCCCUAUUGUUGUUGCUUAAUGUUGUGCAGCACAACAAAGCCUUAAGGCAGCACUUGUUAGUAUUUAUGGAAACCCAUUAGCCAGUCUGUGAAUGAGCCUGCAAAAGAAGAGGAAAUUCUGAUAAUAAUAAACAGGGGUUCUUGUUAAAGCAGGAGAACUCCAGCCAUCCCUAUCACUCAGUGCUGGUAAAGGUUCUUGUCCCUUUGAUUCGUACCACAGACCAGAUCCAAACCCUUUCUCUGAAUCAGCAAUUGAAAAUUCAAAUGAGUGAAGUCCUUUCCAAGGUAAUGCUUUUCUCUUCCCAUCCCACUGCAUUUUUUAAAAGAAAUCAGAAACCUUUCCUACUACAAUCUAGUUUUGGUGCCAGGAUGUACAUAGGAAAUACUAUUUCCUGCCUGUGCUGGCAAGAUCAGUUAUUAAACCACUUCCUCCAAGAGCCAAACUUCUUUGAAGAAGAAAUAAAGUUCAAAGCCUUUUUAAGAGACCAUUUGUUCUUCUUAUGUGCCUAACCUGAAUGUUACAUUGUGUGCCAUUUAAAUAAAAAAACCUUAAUCUCUUGAAGAUGGACUAGCUGUUGUUCUAGGUCACCAGUUUGGGAGAAGCAGACGUGGGUUACAACUGCAUUUUUAGGAAGCUGCUGUCUGAAACUGAGAGAUUUUACUGCAUUGAGCAGCUGCAGAGCCAUGGAACAGCUUCUUACAGGACAGCAGUGGCUCUGGGCUGCUGGCAGAGACAAGGAGGCUUGUGCUGUCAUGUGUGUUUAUUUGGAUGUUAGGUAGCUCAGAGUCCAAAGGUAAGGCAGAUACCUCAGACUACUUUAUUCCUUCUGUCAAAGUCACUUAUUUUAACUGGAAUUUCAAGUUUAGGGUUUAACUGACUGUCGAGGUGGAAGGUACCCAUGCUGUGGGGAGUAAAAAUGAUGCUGUGUGACUGGUGGUCAGUCAAACACAAUGAGGAGAACUCGGACAGUAAUCAUCAACCAGUCUAAGGACAAAAAAUUACUCCAAAGCAAAAAUAUUUUCAGAAAUAAUUCACUGUCACUGCUUGUGCUCCAGCUUUGCCUUAAACAGUACAGAGACAAUUAGUUGGGAAAAAAAGCUUCCAGAAAAAAGUUCUGCACUCUGAAUCUGAUAAAAAAAAAGAAAAAAAAAGGGAGGUUUGCCAAGUGUUGUAGGCAUUUUCUAACCUUGGAGCAUGUUAGCAGUAAGGUACAUUUGUGAGGAACAGCAGCAGUGAAAUGUUUAUUAUUGUGUGCCUCCAUCCUUUUUGUGAGUAUCAUUCUGUGAGGACGGGGCUGCUUUUUAUCUGAUCUGUGCUGCCAAGGCAGAUAAGAGAGGUUUAUGUGAUGUCAGAUCUGAAACCAAGGAACCUGUAGACAGGUUCUGAGUAGUGAUGCCUCUGGCAACUGGUUUCAAGGCAGAGCUUAUGUAGAGUGCCUGAGGUUUUAAUAAGCGUAUAGAUGUCUGAGCAGCACAUAAAGAGCAUGGGAGGUGACAGGCUGACCCAGUCACUUUCAUUAAUUGGGAUCAAGUUACCUUUUUACAUCUGGGCAGAACACUGUACUGGAGAUUUAGGAAGUGAACAAUAAGUUGCCAUUGUCUCUGUGCGCUGGGUUCUUGAAAACUGGUAAAUUGGGACAUGGAAAGUAAGUUCACAGUAAUAGGGGAUGUUCAUGGCUGAGAGAGCACCACACUGCAUAAAUCAUGCCUGCAAAAGUGCAAACAUAAAUCAUUGAGAUCUUUGUAACAUGGGGUUGUCAAAGGCUACUGUUCACAUGUGAGCUCUACACACACUGAAUCAAAUACUCUGUCAUAGUCCUCAAUGGGUUUUGUUUUAUGCUGGUCAGAGUUAGGCCUAAAUCUUCAGGUGGCUCACUCGAGUACUCCAUGAGUGAAUGAGAGCUACAUAGGUGUGCACAGAAUUAUUAAAUCAA